rnacentral:ncRNA from 1 species
GAAACUCGUCUGAAGAUUAGAUAUCCCUGGGAACUUGAUUCCCCUGAAGGGUCGUUCGAGACCAGGACGUUGAUAGGUCAGGUGUGGAAGCACAGUAAUGUGUUAAGCUAACUGAUACUAAUUGCCCGUGCGGCUUGAUCCU